rnacentral:rRNA from 1 species
AUGUCAAUUCUGUUCUCCCAAGAGCUGCCCAUCUACACAGCACUCGUGCUACUUGUUCCCCUGUACUACUUGUACUCGAGGGUUAGAUGUAGAUCAGGGAACCCAGCACUGGUGCUCCCCACAAACUGGCCAAUACUGCACAUGUUUCCUUCCUUCUUGGCCAACAUCCACAACUUGCAUAAAUAUUUAACCCUUGUCCUCGCCGGAUCAGGCCACAACUUCAGGGCACAUGGCCCACCCGGGACCGGGUUGCGGUUCUUUGUCACAUGCGACCCUACAAAUGUUCGACACAUUUUCACGACCAACUAUACCAACUUCCCAAAGGGCGCGGAGUUUGCCGAUAUCUUUGACAUCGUGGGUGGCAGCCUAUUAACCAUCGACGGUGAGCCGUCUCGUGAACAGCGCGCAAAAGUCAAGGGCGCGCUCAGCAACCCAUGGAUGGCUGCCACUAUGGCGAGCUGCUGUUGUGACAAGGACAUGCUGCCCAUGGACGCUGCGGUUGCCCUUGACACGUUCAUGGAGGUGGGAUUUUCCCUGCUCAUGACACCAAGUUCUUGUUGGAAGUUGAUGAGGUGGCUAAACAUUGGCCCCGAGAGAAAGCUCAAAGUGGCGCGCAUAGUGCUACUGGAGUUUGCUGCGGAGAUGAUGGAGAGGAGGAAGAUGAAUCCAUGUUUUGUUGGUAAUGAAGAUGAACAAGAGGAUGGGGAUAUCCUGUCUUCCUUCCUCAACGACCCAGACUAUGCCGAUGAUGACUUGCUCCGUGCGAUGAUCAUUGCCUACAUGUUCGCUGCUAGGGAUACAGUUGGAACAACCGUGACAUGGAUCUUCUACAACCUCGCCCAGAACCCUAACAUUGUUUCAAAUAUCCGAAAAGAACUCUCACCCAUUGCAUCACGCAAAGCAGCGGUUGGUGUGGAUGCCAUGUCGAUCUUUGAGCCAGAAGAGACCAGAUCUCUAGUAUAUUUGAAAGCCGUCUUGUAUGAGACUCUCAGGCUAUACCCAGCGGCGCCUCUUGAGUGCAAGACAGUGAUCGCCGAUGAUAUCAUGCCAAGUGGACAUGAGGUUCAUGCCGGCGACACCAUUAUUAUUUCUAUACACUCCAUGGGGAGAAUGGAGGGUGUGUGGGGUGAAGAUUGCCUCCAUUAUAAACCAGAUAGGUGGCUCUCGGUGGGUGGCAAUAACAUGAGGUAUGUACCAUCUCACAAAUUCUUGGCCUUCAACUCAGGCCCGAGGAUGUGCCUCGGCAAGGACAUCGCGAUUAUGCAGAUGAAGACAGUCAUCGCAUCAACGCUAUGGAACCUCGAUGUGGAGGUGAUGGAAGGGCAAACAAUCCAGCCCAAGCAAGCUUGUAUACAGCAGAUGAAAAAUGUGCUCAUAGUUAAGCUAAAGAAGCGAGAAAUGUAA